ACGAACGCUGGCGGCGUGCCUAACACAUGCAAGUCAAGGAGAAUUCCCGACUUGUCGGGAUAAGUAAACUGGCGAACGGGUGAGUAACACGUAGGUAAUCUACCCUCGGGAUCGGGAAUAACCUCGCGAAAGGUGGGGAUAAUACCGAAUAAAGUCUCGGUAUAAUUUGUCGAGAUGAAAGAUGGGGAUCUUCGGACCUAUUACCUGAGGAUGAGCCUGCGCCUGAUUAGCUAGUUGGUAGGGUAAAUGCCUACCAAGGCAACGAUCAGUAGCUGGUCUGAGAGGAUGAUCAGCCACAUUGGGACUGAGAUACGGCCCAGACUCCUACGGGAGGCAGCAGUGAGGAAUUUUGCGCAAUGGGCGAAAGCCUGACGCAGCAACGCCGCGUGACUGAUUAAGCUCUGAGGAGUGUAAAAGUCUGUCGUAGAGGAAGAAACUAUCCGAUAAGAAUAUUGUCGGAUACUGACGGUACUCUAUGAGAAAGCUCCGGCUAACUCCGUGCC
rnacentral:rRNA from 1 species